rnacentral:lncRNA from 1 species
CUUACUGAUUUAUAAUUUACAAACUUUGCCAACUAUAGCAUACAAAAAUCACCCUAGUGUAAAGAGAAAUGCGAAUUUAAUUCAUAGACAUUGGUUGACACAAAGUUUAACUUUAUUUCAUAAUGACUACAUUUCAACUUCAUUUAUUGCUUUAAAGUUAAAAUUAAAAGUCAUUUUUAUAGCCAAGCCAAAAGUUUUAAGGCAAAUAAUUUUCAAUUGUGAAUUAUAGGAUUGUCUUAGUCAUUGGUAGUGCUACAACAAAUAUACCAUAGACUAGAUGGUUUAAAUGACAAAAAAAAUAUAUUUUUUCAGUUCUAGAAGUUGAGAAGUCCAAGAUCAAGGUACUGGUUGAGCCAGUGACUAGUGACGGCCCAUCCUGGCUUGCAGACAGCCGUCUUCUUGCAUCCUCAGGAAGAGCAGAGAGAGAGAGAGAGAGAGGCAAGGUCUCUCAUGUCCAUGUAUUGGUAUUAAAAGGAAGGGCCACUGGGAGGUGAUUAGGUCAUGAAUGGAAUUAGUGCCCUUAUAAAGGAGGCCCUAAAUAGCUCCCUUGUCCUUUCCACUAUGUGAAGUUACAGAGAAGAUGGCCAUCUAUGAAGAAGCUGGCUCUCACCAGAUGCUAAAUCUGCUGGUACCUUUAUCUUGGACUUCCCAGCCUCCAGAACUGUGAUAAAUAAAUUUCUGCUGUUUAUAAGCCAUCCAAUUUAAAAUAGUCUGUUAUAAUAGCCCAAAUGGGCUAUGGCAGACAGUUCGGUAUAGUGCAUCCCUUUCAAGGAGUUGAGCAUAGAUUUUCUUUACACAUCUCAUCUUUUAAAAACCUUUACCAUUUAGAAGUAUUUGUAUUAUAAUGUACUUGCGGCUCAUAAAAUAAAAGCAUUGUCACAUCAUUUUUAAUACACAUACAUUAUUGGAAAACAUAAAAAUUACAUCUAAUUAGAGAGAAGGACUAAAUUCCAAGUAAGUCUGGGGGAAAGAAUAAGUACUCGAAAGUGUAUUUACUGAGUCUGUUUUCAAGUGAGAGAUGCAUAAAAUUCAAAUUUACGAGCAGAUAAAUACAUUUAUGCCUACCAAGGAUUUUUCAAUGUAUUUGUAACUUUUGCAACCCAGGUUUUAAUCCCUGUCUGCUACUAUAGGACCUUAAGUUUCCUUUAAAUUGUCAUCCAAUAUGGCUGAGAUGAUCCUAGGGUGGGUUAUGUUUGUCCAGUACUAUGUUAUCCUCUGAUAUUUGCCAUUUUCUUCUUCUUCUGCCCAGAUCCCCUGAGGUGAGAAAGUAUUUUCCUGACAUUCCCACAGCCUGCUGUGUUCAUGCAAAUAUCUCACUGCUGAUACUUCUGUGGGCCAGAGGGAGAAGGCUUGAGUUUCAGAUUCUACCACUACAGCAAUGGGAUGACUGGUUGAGUCAAAGCAUCUCCACCCAUGCCAGAAGAGAAGAAGUCAGAGAAAAGAACUAAGACAAUUGCUGACCUUACAACGGUCCUGUCUUCUGAUGCCAUCACCAGAAAUUUGCACACCUCAAGCUACAAAGUGACUCCAAAAGGAGAGUUCCAGUCUCUUUUAUGCUGCUCUCUUUAAUAUCUUCCUCCCCAGGAAGGAGUGAUCUUGAUCGACUGGUCAUUUUCCAGGUCACUAAUUACUCCACAUUUUCUAUGGGUGGAUGCUUUAAAGAAAAUAAAAAUGAAAGCUCUUCUCAUCUUAAUUUAUUCUUUCCUUCCACUCGACCAGACUAGUAGCUGAGGUAGUGCAGCCAAAGAGUCACUUAGUCACUCUCCCUCUCCUUGGAUGCUUUUUUGACCCAUUUGGCAUCUAGACCAGAGUUACUGCCAAUUGGAAUCUAGGCAGGAAGGCAAAGACUUGCUUUUAUUAGGUUGGUGCAAAAGUCACUGCAGUCUUCGCCAUUACUUUUAAAUGGCAAAAACCGCAAUAAACUUUUGCACCAACCUAAUAGCUCUUUUCUCUGACUUCUUCUCUUCUGGCGUUGGUGGAGAUGCUUUGACUCAACCAGUCAUCCCAUUAUCGUAGUGGUAGAAUCUGAAGCUCAAGUUUGGAUUGACAAGAUCCUCUGGCCCUUGUACAUUCAGGUGAACAUGGGUAUAAUUUAGCUGAGGUAAAGGGGGCUUGAUGACGUAUUGCCUAGUUUACAACAGAUCUACAUUAGCACUCAGACACAAAGCCUCAGUUAGUAAUAUUUGUGUCAUCAGCAUUUGUUUUAUGUUCGUAUUAAAACUAAGAGGAGAGAUAAUCCAGCUAUGUUACUUCAGGUUCUCCAAAGGGCAGACUGUUUAAGACAGUAUUAAGCUUACAAGGAUUUUGUUAGAAAAAAAUGCCUGCAUGAAGAAAUGGUGAAGGCCAGGUGCAGUGGCUCACACCUGUAAUCCCAGUUCUUUGAAAGGCCAAAGUAGCAGGAUUGCUUAAGCCCAGGAGUUUGAGAACAGCCUGGGCAACAUAGCAAGACUUCAUUUCUACCAAAAGUCUUAAAAAAUUAGCCAGAUGUGGGGGGAUGCACUUGUAGUCAUAGCUACUCAGGAGGCUGAGGUUGGAGGAUGGUUUGAGCCCAGGAGUUCAAGGCUGGAGUAAGCUAUGAUGAUGUCACUGCACUCCAGCCUGGAUGACAGUGAGAUCCUGUCUCUAAAAAAGAAAGAAAGAAGGAAGGAAGGAAGGAAGGAAGGAAGGAAGGAAGGAAGGAAGGAAGGAAGGAAGGAAGGAAUGAAUCAAGGAAGGAAGGAAGGAAGGAAGGAAGGAAUGAAUCAAGGAAGGAAGAAAGGAAGGGCUUAGAAAACAGCCUGAUAGGAUGCAAGUCUGACCCCCAUGAGGGAGGCAAGGAAGAGAGAUUGGAGGGAAGCACCUAGACUUCUAUACAGUUUAAGGAAGUGUCACAAAAGCUGUCAAGAACUCCUCAAACCAAAGCCAUCAGAAAAGUCUCUUGUUGCUCCAUAAUGAAUGUGCCUAAGGAACCAUGUUGCACUCAAUGAUUGGCAAGGAGCAGCCCCUCGAAAGGCAUAGUCUUGGUACAAAGCAGUGAUGGAUUUCAAAGAGCAGCAGCUGGAGUUCAAUUACACUUUCUGUGGUUGAAGGUUGAGAUGCACAUUCCCAUGGCUGCCACACAAACAAACAGGGGAUUUUGGUAUUCCUUGGACACCUAAUCAAAAUGCCUAAUAAGUAUUGACCUAAAAACACCCUUGUUUAUUGCCUGACACCUAGAUGGCUCCACAUCCUCCAGGCUCUUUAGGCCAAUCUUUUAAUAGCUGUAAUGAAAUGUUCUUUCACUUAUUGAAGAAAACCAGCAUUUUCUCAUCCCAGUUUUCCCAGGUGUAUUAGUUUUCUAUUGCUGCAUAACAAAUUACCACAACCUUAGCUGCUUAAAGCAACACCCAUUUAUUGUCGCACAGAUAUGUAGGUCAGAAGUCCAGGAGGGCUCAACUGGGUUUUCGGUCUAGGAUCUCAUGAGGCUAAAACCAAAGUCUUGCCCAGAUUACAUUCUUAUUUGGAAUAUCUGGGGAAGAAUUUCUUUCCAAGGUCAUUCAUGUUGUUGGCAGAAUUUAGUUCCAUGUGGUUGCAAGCGUGAGGUGCCAGUUUUCUUGCUGGCUUUCAGUCACGGGGUCACGUUUAGUUCCUAAAAUCUGCUUUGAGGUCUUUUUACCCAUCCCCCUCCACCUCCACAAAAAGCCAACCUCAUGCCAAAUCUCCGUGAAACUUCCAAUAUCUUGAAUGUCUUCUGCUACCAGCUAGAAGAAAGUCUGCUUUUAAGAGGCUUGCUUGAUUAGAUUAGGUCCACCUGGAGACACCCCCAUGUUCAGGUCAAUUGAUGAAUAACCUUCUCUACAUCUGUCAAAUUACUUUCCCAUGUAAUAUAACAUAAUUGCAGCCAUGCUAGCUCAUUGUGUUUAUAGGGGGUCAUCUUAAAAUGCUGCCAGCCACAUAAACAACUUUGAGUAUGCCUACUCCAGAUCUCCUUGCUUGCUUCUCAAAAAGUCCCUCGUUUCCGCUCUGCUUUCCCUCACACUACUGUAUGCCAUACUGAAGGCAACAUAUUUUCCAUAAUUCACCAAAAGUAUAACAAAUAAACUAUUGUGCAUGGCACAUGUUUACUAUCGGUUGGGUUAUUACUAGGAGAUGAUAUCAGAGAAUAAUAAAUACAAAAAAUUUUAAGAGAAUUUUAAAAAUCAAUAAACUACUAAAAUUUCUUCCUACUCACAUUCUUCGUACUUAGUUCACUGACCAUCUUUACUCAGAGUCUGUUUCCUUUAAGAUUGUUUUAUUCUUUUAUGCUCUACCUACCAGCGACUUCCUUAGAAAGACAGUAUCACAGUUUACCACCUACCCCAAACUACUCAAAGCUAUCCAAGCACACAAUCUGGAGUUUCCUUAAACAAAAGAGGCAUCAAUCAGGUUCUCAUUCUCAGCAAGAGUCUUCUUCCCUGUCCCCAACCUCCCCACCCCACCUCUUCCAGGAGAACAUAGAAAGGAGCUUUAAAAGGGAUUUAUUCUAGUCCUAAAUACAACAAAACUAUGGGAGUGGUGGAACUUUUUGCAUUAUUCUGUGUAAAAAUAAAGAGAUUCACCAUUUUCCCUGUUCUAACUGCAUAAAGCAGAACAAGCUGAGGUUCUUGUGCACCAAAGCCUCAUGUUUGCUGGAUGCCUGGAAGUCUCUUUUCUAUACCCUGGUGCUUUAGGAUUUGUUCCAAAGUAGCAUUGCCUUGUGCCCUAUGUCUGGGUUUUAGCACAAAAUAGUUCUCUCAUAUCUACUUUAAAGCCUCUCUAGGACACAAAUGGAUUUUUUCAGUCCUGACCCAGAGAAGGAAAUGAACAGACUUGGGAUUCGACUUUCUCCCCACAAUAGAGGCUUUGGUGGUGUGGCCCUUCUUUUAUAUAUCUUUCUACCCCAAGGCUUCCCCACUCCCUUGUGUAACCGAGCUUGUAAUGGGGCCGCCCAGUAGUGUACCAAGCAUGCACAAACACGUCUAAAAUGCUGCAGAGGAUAUGGACUACACCAGUUCUGGUACCACCUAACAGAGGAAUUUGCAGAUUGUUCUUUUUCCCAUACACAUAGACAUAUAUUCUUCUACUCCCAGCAUGUAAGUGCUUUACCAGUUUUAUUGGUCAGAUUUGCAAUUGCCUCUUUCACUUCUGGUUUAUAUGAUUGAGGUCAGAGUGUUAAGUUUUAUGGGUUAAAUAUAAGAGACUCACUGUUCCUUCUUGUUUUUCUUGUCAUAAAGAGUACAGUACUGGAGUGGCAGAACUUAAUGAAUCGAGUCUUUAGCCUGACACCCAGAGCAGCACCUGCUGGCAGCUGGAAGUGACACUGCUGUAAACCUUCCACCCCAUGGUUAGGCAGGGUUUGCACUGGAGCCUUGUUAACUCACUACCCUUCAAACACAUGAUAAAUGUUCUUCUUUGAAGAAAACAAAAACAAACCAAAAAAAUAAGGUGUUUUACACUAGCAUCUUGUUUUCCGUGUUUUCCACUAGCAUCUUGUUCACCUGUGCUAUCAGAACUAAAUAUCUAAGAUAAUUAAAAAGUAAUAAAGUUUUUCCAUGUCUUUUUAUUGAAAUUGCAAAGAUUUUACAGCUUUUUAAUCUGCCCUGCCUGUAUAUGUUAAUCCUUAAAGUAAACAUAGAAAUUUGAUUCAUUCUUAAAAGUCUUGCAUAUGCCAAAAAUAGUAACCAUGUAUUUCCAACCUGGAAACCAAAGACCUGCAAAGUCCAGAAGGGCUGUUUAUGAUGAUUCCUGUGAGUUCACAAGCAUCGCUUAUCACAAGUAUUAAGGAAUUUAAUAAUUGUUUUGAUUCCAAGGGAAUUUCUUUUUAGUUAUAAAUGUGAACCAUUUCAUUCGUUAGGCCCUUAAUGAAAUACCUGUGAGACAUGUGUGUCAGAUACUUCUUAAAACCUUCAAAAUAAAGUGUGAUGAUUUCUCUAGAGACACUUAUAAAUAAGUUCAGAAAAAGACAGCCUGAAGACAGCUAAGGUAAUGCACUGCUUACCACUAAGUGGGAAACUUACUCUACAGCAAUCUUGUUUGAUAAAAUGCUCAUGAAUAGUCUUUUUACACCAAAAAUUUAUCAUCAUGCAAACAAGCAAGGGAUUUGAUGAACAAAAAUCCCUCAAAUUAAGUUUCCUUGUUUUAACCCCAUCGCUUUCAGAAUUCACAUAGAACUUUAUAUAGAGAGCUAUUUCCACAUGACCAAAACGAUACAUUCAGUGAUCCAGUGUCCCCAGAAGAUAUCCCUAGCAAAUUGCUUGACAACAGAUACAAUGUAUGUUUAGUGUUUUCUCUUUGCUAAUCACUGUGGUAGGUGCUGUGGUUUAGAUUAUUUUAUUUAAGAUUCACAAAUCACUUCAAAAUAUAUAUUCAUUCAGUAAACUAAAAUUUUAUUCAUCUAUUGCUAUGUAUCAUGCACUAUUCCAGGCACUUGGGAUGAAUCAAUUAAAAAAGCAAACAUCACUCAAGGAGCUUACAUUCUAGUGGGGGAAGAGAGAAAAUAUACAAUUAAUAUACAUAAAAAUUGCAUAAAUUGUGUAAUAUAUUGGAAGGGGCUAAAUGUUAUAGAAUAAGAGAAAUUUGAGAGUUAGAUUGGGGAACAGUUUGUCUAAUAAGAUAGCAUGGCCAGUAUAGGUCUCACUGUAAAGCCAAUAUUUGGUCAAAGGCCUGAAAGAGACAAAAAAUAGCUAUUAAGAUAUCUGUGGGAAGGUGGAGGGUCACAUGCGUUCUGGGGGGCCAUUGCAGGGACUUCCUCUCUUUCUCUGUGUAAAAGUGGGGUCAUUACUGGCUUUAAGGAGAGGAGUGACAUCAUCAGAUUUACAUUUCAAAAUGAUUUCUCCCUCUGCCUCAGGAAGAAGAGACUGCCAGGAGCCAAAGGGAGAGGAGAAAUGAGGUGAGAGUCUAUCACAAUUCAGGCAGAUAGGAUGGUGGCCCUGGCUACAAUGAAAACCAUCAUAAGGAAUAGCCAAUAGCUAAGUGGCUUGAUUUGGGGGAUGAAAGGGCUGAUUCUAAGGUUUUCGCCUAAACUACUAUUAUGAUGGUGUCAUUUAAAUUGAGAUUAGAAAGACUGUACAUGGAAGAGGUUUGUGGAGGAAGAUCAAGGACUUUGAUUUUGGACAUAUUGAAAGUAUGUCUAGUGCAUAUUGCAGUGGCAACAUCAAGUAUGCAGUUGGACAUAUAAGUCUGGAGUUAGAGACAAGGGUUGAGCUAGAGAUUAACCUUGGAAAUUAUUGACAUAUAGAUAUUAUGCGAAGGCUUUGGGCUGGUUGAGAUUAUCAAGAGAAUGGGUACAAAUGGAGAAGAAGAGAUUAUGAAGAUCUGGGUCCAGAGCACUCUAAUGAUGACAGGUGGGAAAGAGGAGGCAGAACCAACAAAGACAGUUGAAAGACAUAACAAAGGACACAGAGGAUAAACUAUGAGGAUGAUCAAGAAAGUACAGUGUUCUAAAAACCAGCUGAAUACAGUGGAGAACAUAAUGUGGCUCUAAAGGUUUAAGAAUUUGGUUAAAUUUCAUAAAACUAGUAAGUGGUAGCAGUUGGAUUUAAAGCCAGCUCUUUUGACUUCAAAUCCUGGUUGUAUCUACAAAAUACUGGAACCCUGAAUAUAAGCUAUAGUUGUUAUAAAUGUAAUGAAAGCUACAAACAAGAGUUACAAAAGGAAAGCCCUUUCUUGUCAGCAAUGAGAGAUUUAGACCACUUUUAGGCCAUAAAAGUAAGAGCCAUCCAUGAUCAUUGAGAGUGAUCUAUUAAUGAUUGCUUAAUAUGAACACACUUGUACUUUUAUCAUACUUUAAAGUUGUUCCUGGUAGUGGUUUACUGAUUAUUCUAUUUAAAAUCAACAAGCCAGGCAUGGUAGCUCACACCUGUAAUCCCAGCACUUUGGGAGGCCAAGGCGGGUGGAUCAUCUGAGGUCAAGACUUGGAAACCAUCCUGGCCAACAUGGUGAAACCUCAUCUCUACUAAAAAUACAAAAAUUAGCCAGGUGUGGUGGCGGGAGCUGGUAAUCCCAGCUAACUGGGAAGCUGAGGCGGGAGAAUCGCUUGAACCCGGAAGAUAGAGGUUGCAGCAAGCAGAGAUUGUGCCAUUGCACUCCAGCCUGGGCAACAGGAGUGAAAUUCCAUCUCAAAAAUAAAUAAAUAAAUAAAAUAAAAUUAAUUAAGACUUUUUUUUUUUUUAGAGGUAGGGUCUCACUCUGUUACCCAGGCCAAAGUACAGUGAUGUGAUCAUAGCUCACUGCAGCCUUGAAAUCCUAGUCUCUUGAGUAGCUGGGACGACAGAUGUGUGCCCCCAUGCCUGGCUAAGACAUAAGGAUAUAUUUUAAGAAGUCUUAAAAUAGGGGAAAAGCAAAAUAUAAAGUCAUUCCACAGAAGAGGCAAAAGAUGUAUUACACAACUUCUAAAGUUAAUUUUACUUCAAAGAAGAGAGUACUGUAGUUGAAAUACUUGACUGAAAACAGAAAGGGGCCUGGGAAGUCCUCCUGUCCAGUAUUAUCCAAGUAUCUAGAGGAUUAGCAAGGAAAGGGAGGAGAUAAGAAUUUUCAGGACUCCACUGUUUUCCCCAUUUUAUUCAAAUAAGAAUCAUUCUUAUCAAUUGUAUACAAAGGGCUUCCUGUAAGAUUUUCUUUGACUAACAGGCCUCACAAAUAAAUGAUAUUUAUUUAAUUUUUUAUUUUACUGAUAAGAAAACUGAGGACCCAAUGUGACAGGCUCAAGAUCAUAGCUGUUAAGGGUUGAGCUGAAAUUUAGAUCUUCGUCUUAUGAUACCAAGUCCAGUGUGUGUACCUGCUUGUAUGUGUGUGCUUGUGUGGCAUGAGUGUGUGUAUGUGUGCGCAUGUCUCUAUGUUUCUGUAUAGUACACUUCCUAUCUCCUGAUAUAAGAGUGGGGGAAUCAUCCCCACAACAUGGAAAAAGCCUCAAAAUCCCAUCUCAAAAUACGCUUGUGAAGUUCUGGGCACCAGAGGACGCAGACCAACUUUAUAGUCACUCAGCUGACCACGUAAUGGCACACUCAACUGAAGUAUUACCAUUGGUGCCUCUUCAGACCCUGGAACUUCUCUUUCUUCCCCUUUCAUUUCCUCAUUACUUCCAGAAACUUACUGCUUCUGAGAGUUUUUAAGAUUCCUGCUAAUAAUAAUAACUAAUAUUUUUCAAGUCUUAUGAUAUGCUAGGCACCACUUGGUGUUUUAUAUAUAUUCUUAUUUAUAUAAAAAUAU